GACGGAGGGGGCUAGCGUUGUUCGGAAUUACUGGGCGUAAAGCGUGCGCAGGCGGUUCGUUAAGUCAGCUGUGAAAGCCCCGGGCUCAACCUGGGAAUUGCGGUUGAAACUGGCGAACUAGAAUCUGGCAGAGGGGGGUGGAAUUCCACGUGUAGCAGUGAAAUGCGUAGAGAUGUGGAGGAACACCGAUGGCGAAGGCAGCCCCCUGGGCUGAGAUUGACGCUCAGGCACGAAAGCGUGGGGAGCAAACAGG
rnacentral:rRNA from 1 species